rnacentral:rRNA from 1 species
AGUGAACGCUGGCGGUAGGCCUAACACAUGCAAGUCGAACGGCAGCACAGUAAGAGCUUGCUCUUACGGGUGGCGAGUGGCGGACGGGUGAGGAAUACAUCGGAAUCUACUUUUUCGUGGGGGAUAACGCAGGGAAACUUACGCUAAUACCGCAUACGACCUACGGGUGAAAGCAGGGGAUCUUCGGACCUUGCGCGAUUGAAUGAGCCGAUGUCGGAUUAGCUAGUUGGCGGGGUAAAGGCCCACCAAGGCGACGAUCCGUAGCUGGUCUGAGAGGAUGAUCAGCCACACUGGAACUGAGACACGGUCCAGACUCCUACGGGAGGCAGCAGUGGGGAAUAUUGGACAAUGGGCGCAAGCCUGAUCCAGCCAUACCGCGUGGGUGAAGAAGGCCUUCGGGUUGUAAAGCCCUUUUGUUUGGAAAGAAAAGCAGCAGGUUAAUACCCCGCUGUUCUGACGGUACCCAAAGAAUAAGCACCGGCUAACUUCGUG